UACAGAGGGUGCAAGCGUUGUUCGGAAUUACUGGGCGUAAAGCGCGUGUAGGCGGCCUCGUGAGUCUCGUGUGAGAGCCCUGGGCUCGACCCAGGAAGUGCGCGAGAUACUGCGAAGCUGGAGUGGCGGAGAGGAUGGCGGAAUUCCCGGUGUAGAGGUGAAAUUCGUAGAUAUCGGGAGGAACACCUGUGGCGAAGGCGGCCAUCUGGACGUCAACUGACGCUGAGACGCGAAAGCGUGGGGAGCAAACAGG
rnacentral:rRNA from 1 species